UCUUUUCAAUUUAUGGUGUGUGGGAAAAAAUAAAAAGUAUGGCGGUCUUCAAUCUUGUCAGAGGGACAUGUAUUGGAAAAACGAAUUUGCACGAAAAUCUGUCCUAGCCUAGAAUAAUUCAUUAUGUACACCGCUGUCUGAAAGAAAUUAUAAAGGUAUUUUCUUCUUUCCUUUAAGGAAGUAAGGCAAGUUAAGGUGCAGUUAAUGGUUAGGGAAAUAUGUGUUCCAAUAUUAAUUAUGGACGAGUAGGUGGAAAUGAUUUGAAAAGAGAAUUUGAUAGUAAAGUAAGUUAUUAAACUAACUUGAAGAUGAGCUAUAGAAGGUGU
rnacentral:rRNA from 2 species